CAGGGGGCGGCAGAGGCCCCCCUCCGCGCCUUCACUGCGCCGUCCUCCGAGGCGGCAGGGGGCGGUAAAGGCUCCGCCAGCGCUUGCCCGUUGCCAUAGCGACGCCGCCGCCGCCGCCAUGGCCGUCCCGGGGCCGGCGCUGCUGCUGCCCGCCGAGGCCGAGGCGCUGGUGCGGGCGCUGCAGGGCACCGAGCUGCGGGACAUCGGCGGGCAGCGAUGGCUCCGGCAGCAGGAGUCUGUGGAGAAGCUCAACAUGGACGCCAUCCUGAGCGCCUCCGCGGGCCAGGAGCAGCUCCUCACCGAGCUGUUGGUCACCUACGCCAAGAUUCCUGUUCUCAUUGGCGAGCUGAUCUCUGUGGAGAUCUGGAAGCACAAGGUCUUCCCUGUGCUGUGCCGGCUGGAGGACUUCAAGCCGAGAAGCACCUUCCCCAUCUACAUAGUGCUGCAUCAUGAAGCCUCCAUCAUUAACCUCUUGGAGACAGUGUUUUUUUACAAGGAGGUCUGCGAGUCAGCAGAGGACAGCAUUCUGGAUUUGAUUGAUUACUGCCACCGAAAACUGACACUGCUCGCAGCUCGGAGCGCCAAGGGACAGCUUUGUCCUGAGGAUGUGGCCAGCCCCUCAUCCAUGCAGGAGCUGCAGAAGCAGGCGGAGGCGAUGGAGUUUGAGAUUGCCCUGAAAGCCCUCUCCGUGCUGCGGUUCAUCACUGACCAGGUGGAGAGCCUGCCCCUGAGCGCGCUGACACGGAUGCUGAGCACCCACAACCUGCCCUGCCUCCUUGUUGAGCUGGUGGAGCAUUGCCCCUGGAGCUGCCGGGAAGCAGGCAAGCUCAAGAAGUUUGAGAACGGCACGUGGCACGAGGUGCCCCCUCAAGACCAGGUGAAGAUGACCAAGCUGGAUGGGCAGGUGUGGAUUGCCCUCCUCAACCUCCUGCUCAGCCCCGAGUGCCAGCGCAAAUACCACUUUGAUGGCUUCAACAGGAGCCAGCUCCUUAAGCUCCGUGUGUUCCUGACAGAUGUCCUUGUUGACCAGCUUCCCAACCUGGUGGAGAUGCAGAGAUUUCUGAGCCACCUUGCAGUGACAGAGCCAGCUCCCCCCAAAAAGGAUCUUGUCCUGGAGCAGUGCUCUCCUGCUGAAUUCUGGACCCCCCCGGUCAUGGGCUGCUUGGCACACUGUGUCCAGUGGGAUGCCAAGGUCUGGGGAUAGAGCCUGCUCCCGGCUGAUGUAUGAAGCUUGACCCCUGAGGAUCUUCAAACAGUGUGAGGUUCUUGGGGGUUUAAAUCCACGCAGUGGUAAUCUCUGGAGUAAAGUGUUCCUUCAAAGUGUGUCUUUGUGUGAGCUGAGGGGAGAAACUGCAGAUCUGCAAACAGGCAGCUGGGAAAAGCAGAGGCUCUUCCCCACUGCUGGAGGCUCCUACACCGCUAACUGGAGCAGAUGGCUCUGCUUUUGUGCCGGUGCCGUUCCUGCUUCUGCCAAGGGCUGGGGCUGAGCCGGGGGGCAGGCAGGGGGAGCCAGCUGGAAGCACACGCAGGGGCUCCCUGCUCUGCCCAGAAAGCGGUGAACUCACUCCUUGUCUCCAAGCCAAGCUGAGGAAAGGCCUUUUUCCAUUCGGUUGCUCCCAGAGCAGCCUCCUCCCCUUCCAGGCCUGGCUAUUUUUGCUGUGCUGGAGGAGGCAGCGCCGUUUGAAGCAGCAUCUCCAGAGCCUGAACUCCCCACGCUUGCUCUUGGCUGGUGCUUUCCCUCUCGCACUGGUCAGCCCUGC